rnacentral:misc_RNA from 1 species
CGCACAUUGCGCCCUUUGGUAUUCCGAAGGGCAUGCCUGUUCGAGCGUCAUUAUCACCCCUCGAGCCCCCGGGCUUGGUGUUGGACGGCUUGGUUGACGCUCCGGCGUCGACCCCUCCUAAAGACAAUGACGGCGGCCUCGUGGAGCCCCCGGUACAGUGAGUUCUUAACUGAGCACGUAUCGGAUUCUAGGGCGCCCGGGUCCCGGUCUCCUCUCGUCCUCUUGGGCGGGAACCCCCUUUUUAUCAAGGUUGACCUCGGAUCAGGUAGGAAUACCCGCUGAACUUAA